AGCGUACACGGUGGAUGCCCUGGCAGUCAGAGGCGAUGAAGGACGUGCUAAUCUGCGAUAAGCGUCGGUAAGGUGAUAUGAACCGUUAUAACCGGCGAUUUCCGAAUGGGGAAACCCAGUGUGUUUCGACACACUAUCAUUAACUGAAUCCAUAGGUUAAUGAGGCGAACCGGGGGAACUGAAACAUCUAAGUACCCCGAGGAAAAGAAAUCAACCGAGAUUCCCCCAGUAGCGGCGAGCGAACGGGGAGCAGCCCAGAGCCUGAAUCAGUGUGUGUGUUAGUGGAAGCGUCUGGAAAGGCGCGCGAUACAGGGUGACAGCCCCGUACACAAAAAUGCACAUGCUGUGAGCUCGAUGAGUAGGGCGGGACACGUGGUAUCCUGUCUGAAUAUGGGGGGACCAUCCUCCAAGGCUAAAUACUCCUGACUGACCGAUAGUGAACCAGUACCGUGAGGGAAAGGCGAAAAGAACCCCGGCGAGGGGAGUGAAAAAGAACCUGAAACCGUGUACGUACAAGCAGUGGGAGCACGCUUAGGCGUGUGACUGCGUACCUUUUGUAUAAUGGGUCAGCGACUUAUAUUCUGUAGCAAGGUUAACCGAAUAGGGGAGCCGAAGGGAAACCGAGUCUUAACUGGGCGUUAAGUUGCAGGGUAUAGACCCGAAACCCGGUGAUCUAGCCAUGGGCAGGUUGAAGGUUGGGUAACACUAACUGGAGGACCGAACCGACUAAUGUUGAAAAAUUAGCGGAUGACUUGUGGCUGGGGGUGAAAGGCCAAUCAAACCGGGAGAUAGCUGGUUCUCCCCGAAAGCUAUUUAGGUAGCGCCUCGUGAAUUCAUCUCCGGGGGUAGAGCACUGUUUCGGCAAGGGGGUCAUCCCGACUUACCAACCCGAUGCAAACUGCGAAUACCGGAGAAUGUUAUCACGGGAGACACACGGCGGGUGCUAACGUCCGUCGUGAAGAGGGAAACAACCCAGACCGCCAGCUAAGGUCCCAAAGUCAUGGUUAAGUGGGAAACGAUGUGGGAAGGCCCAGACAGCCAGGAUGUUGGCUUAGAAGCAGCCAUCAUUUAAAGAAAGCGUAAUAGCUCACUGGUCGAGUCGGCCUGCGCGGAAGAUGUAACGGGGCUAAACCAUGCACCGAAGCUGCGGCAGCGACGCUGAUGCGUUGUUGGGUAGGGGAGCGUUCUGUAAGCCUGCGAAGGUGUGCUGUGAGGCAUGCUGGAGGUAUCAGAAGUGCGAAUGCUGACAUAAGUAACGAUAAAGCGGGUGAAAAGCCCGCUCGCCGGAAGACCAAGGGUUCCUGUCCAACGUUAAUCGGGGCAGGGUGAGUCGACCCCUAAGGCGAGGCCGAAAGGCGUAGUCGAUGGGAAACAGGUUAAUAUUCCUGUACUUGGUGUUACUGCGAAGGGGGGACGGAGAAGGCUAUGUUGGCCGGGCGACGGUUGUCCCGGUUUAAGCGUGUAGGCUGGUUUUCCAGGCAAAUCCGGAAAAUCAAGGCUGAGGCGUGAUGACGAGGCACUACGGUGCUGAAGCAACAAAUGCCCUGCUUCCAGGAAAAGCCUCUAAGCAUCAGGUAACAUCAAAUCGUACCCCAAACCGACACAGGUGGUCAGGUAGAGAAUACCAAGGCGCUUGAGAGAACUCGGGUGAAGGAACUAGGCAAAAUGGUGCCGUAACUUCGGGAGAAGGCACGCUGAUAUGUAGGUGAAGUCCCUCGCGGAUGGAGCUGAAAUCAGUCGAAGAUACCAGCUGGCUGCAACUGUUUAUUAAAAACACAGCACUGUGCAAACACGAAAGUGGACGUAUACGGUGUGACGCCUGCCCGGUGCCGGAAGGUUAAUUGAUGGGGUUAGCGCAAGCGAAGCUCUUGAUCGAAGCCCCGGUAAACGGCGGCCGUAACUAUAACGGUCCUAAGGUAGCGAAAUUCCUUGUCGGGUAAGUUCCGACCUGCACGAAUGGCGUAAUGAUGGCCAGGCUGUCUCCACCCGAGACUCAGUGAAAUUGAACUCGCUGUGAAGAUGCAGUGUACCCGCGGCAAGACGGAAAGACCCCGUGAACCUUUACUAUAGCUUGACACUGAACAUUGAGCCUUGAUGUGUAGGAUAGGUGGGAGGCUUUGAAGUGUGGACGCCAGUCUGCAUGGAGCCGACCUUGAAAUACCACCCUUUAAUGUUUGAUGUUCUAACGUGGACCCGUAAUCCGGGUUGCGGACAGUGUCUGGUGGGUAGUUUGACUGGGGCGGUCUCCUCCUAAAGAGUAACGGAGGAGCACGAAGGUUGGCUAAUCCUGGUCGGACAUCAGGAGGUUAGUGCAAUGGCAUAAGCCAGCUUGACUGCGAGCGUGACGGCGCGAGCAGGUGCGAAAGCAGGUCAUAGUGAUCCGGUGGUUCUGAAUGGAAGGGCCAUCGCUCAACGGAUAAAAGGUACUCCGGGGAUAACAGGCUGAUACCGCCCAAGAGUUCAUAUCGACGGCGGUGUUUGGCACCUCGAUGUCGGCUCAUCACAUCCUGGGGCUGAAGUAGGUCCCAAGGGUAUGGCUGUUCGCCAUUUAAAGUGGUACGCGAGCUGGGUUUAGAACGUCGUGAGACAGUUCGGUCCCUAUCUGCCGUGGGCGCUGGAGAACUGAGGGGGGCUGCUCCUAGUACGAGAGGACCGGAGUGGACGCAUCACUGGUGUUCGGGUUGUCAUGCCAAUGGCACUGCCCGGUAGCUAAAUGCGGAAGAGAUAAGUGCUGAAAGCAUCUAAGCACGAAACUUGCCCCGAGAUGAGUUCUCCCUGACUCCUUGA
rnacentral:rRNA from 1 species